rnacentral:rRNA from 1 species
GAUGAACGCUGGCGGCGUGCCUAAUACAUGCAAGUCGAGCGAACGGACGAGAAGCUUGCUUCUCUGAUGUUAGCGGCGGACGGGUGAGUAACACGUGGAUAACCUACCUAUAAGACUGGGAUAACUUCGGGAAACCGGAGCUAAUACCGGAUAAUAUUUUGAACCGCAUGGUUCAAAAGUGAAAGACGGUCUUGCUGUCACUUAUAGAUGGAUCCGCGCUGCAUUAGCUAGUUGGUAAGGUAACGGCUUACCAAGGCAACGAUGCAUAGCCGACCUGAGAGGGUGAUCGGCCACACUGGAACUGAGACACGGUCCAGACUCCUACGGGAGGCAGCAGUAGGGAAUCUUCCGCAAUGGGCGAAAGCCUGACGGAGCAACGCCGCGUGAGUGAUGAAGGUCUUCGGAUCGUAAAACUCUGUUAUUAGGGAAGAACAUAUGUGCAAGUAACUGUGCACAACUUGACGGUACCUAAUCAGAAAGCCACGGCUAACUACGCG